GCCCUGAUAACUUAAAGGUUAAAGUAUAACUCUGAAGAAGUUAAAAUUUAGGUUCAAUUCCUAAUCUGGGCA
rnacentral:tRNA from 1 species